rnacentral:rRNA from 1 species
UACAGAGGGUGCGAGCGUUAAUCGGAAUUACUGGGCGUAAAGCGCACGUAGGCGGCUUGGUAUGUCGGGGGUGAAAGCCCGAGGCUCAACCUCGGAACUGCCUUCGAUACUGCGGGUCUCGAGUCCGGGAGAGGUGAGUGGAAUUCCUAGUGUAGAGGUGAAAUUCGUAGAUAUUAGGAAGAACACCAGUGGCGAAGGCGGCUCACUGGCCCGGUACUGACGCUGAGGCGCGAAAGCGUGGGGAGCAAACAGG